GUCUUAACCAGCAGGAAGAAAUAUAAACAAAGGAACAUAUUUUUAAUUUAAUGAAGCAAAAUUCCAUACAUCAUUUUGAAAAUAGUGUUUCUUUCCCUGAUAGGCCUGUUCUGCAUCAUUCUUUUAGCUUCCUUCUGCCCUGUUUAUCACUUGGUCCCACUUUUAUAUUUUUCCUCUUCGGUCCAGAAUUUCUUAUUUAGUUUCUUGUAUUUUGCCUACUCCCUCCCUUCUCCAUGAUUCAGCCUAGUCUUUCCGUCCUCUGUGGACUUGGGUGUGCCUUCCUCUGGGCCACCUCGUCUUUUGCUGCUGUUAGCCCUCCCGCCUGCGCACCUGCCACUUCACCCUCGCCUGUGGUCCACUUACGUUCCACUCAGCCCGGUCAGUCCUGCUUUGUUCUUCUCCACCGCCUUGGUCUCCCGUGUGUCUUAUCUAGCUCUGGUUCCUUCUCGUCUCCACAUUUAUUUUGUUUUCUUCCUGUGCUUGUUAGUCCUUGUGCACUUGGUCCUUGAGCUCUUUUUCUAUUAAUAGGUAUUACUAGAUGGAUUUGUUGUCUGCCUUUACAUAGAACACACAUCCUUACUGUGCAUUUCCUGGGUAGCCAGGAUGAAUCAAUUAUUAUUAACUUCCCUUCGAACAUUGAGCUUCCUCUGUUUUCUGUUUCUAAGAAUUAGAUUAGUAUUCUAGAAGACUAAUACUACUUUAAAGACAGUCAAAACAGUCAUACGCUGCCAUUUCAGCCCUUUAUUUAAGAGUUUGUGACAUUUAUCACUCCCUUGAAAGAUUAAAGAACACCCAAAGCAAGUUUGGGGUGGAGGUGGGGAAGGCAGGAAGAGAAAGGUAAGUGCUAUAAAAGGACUCAUUGUUAAUUUCUAGAAAUUGGACUGAGAUCUGAAAGCAUAAGCCUUAACAUUUUUUAGAUAAACGGUCCCUGAAAAGAAUAAAAAGUAUCAGUACUUCCGUUAACUAGCUUUAGUAUUGGGUCAUUUGUAGUUUACAUUCUCCUUUAAGUUUUAAGACCUUCAGUAGUUAACAAAGCAGACAGAGACUGGCCAGGCACAGUGGCUCACACCUGUAAUACCAGCACUUUGGGAGGCUGAGUUGGGUGGAUCACAAGGUCAGGAGAUUGAAACCAUCCUGGCCAACAUGGUGAAACCCCGUCUCUACUAAAAAUACAAAAAAAAAAAAAAAUUAGCCAGGCGUGGUGGCAGGCACCUGUAGUCCCAGCUACUCGGGAGGCUGGGGCAGGAGAAUUUCUUGAACCCGGGAGGCCGAGGUUGCAGUGAGCUGAGAUCGCGCCACUGCACUCCAGCCUGGGUGACAGCGAGACUCUGUCUCAAAAAGAAAAAAAAAAAAAAAAGCAGAGACUUAAUCUUGUAAAUACUCAUUUUAUUUUUGAGAGGCUUAAUGUCUCCUUAAAUAUUAACCUGUGUCAUUUUGUAAUUAUACUGUAAUAGUGUCAGAAUGCCAUUAACAACCAACCCUUUUCGUUUCUUGUGUGGGAAAGCUCAUAAAUUGUGUGGUCUUACCCCUCUGGACCCUGUAGUUGUAGCAUUGUGAAAAUGGAGCUUUUGGCAAAACUUUGUAUUAUGCUGUUGACUCACAUUGUCUCAUAUUUUUCCUUUAUUCUUCUAUAUUCUAUGAAUAUGGUGCUGUCCUGUCAUUUAAUUAUUAUAAUAUAUGUGAACUGCUGGAGGUAGACUGAUGUGAGUGCAGUUUUUCAACUUAAAAACCCUUAUAUAUCACAUUCAUGGUGUUUAAGAUAUAAGAACAGCCCUACAAAGAGGGGUUGAUUGUAUUGAAGAUUCUUUCUGCUGAGCCUGCCUUAAUUGUGAGGGUGGUUGUUUGGGUAUCUUAGAGCUAAAAGAAUGGCUAAGAGUCCAUUAAUGGUCCUGUAAUAUUCACCAUCCCUGAGCAGUUAGUAAAGAAUGGCCGCAAAGCCACAAUUAGGCUACUAACAAGGAACUUAUGUAGAUGUGCUAGGUCCAGCCUGUGUUCUGGAACUAUAGAGAUGAAUAAGGUAUGGUCCUUUCUCUCUGGAGGCUCACAGUUGAAUAGGGAAUAUUAAUACGUGAAUGAUAGCAGUACAGUGUGGCAGAUGCUAAAAUAUAUGUGUGUAGCAGCUAUUACAGGAGAACUGAUUAAUAGGGAGAGUCUGGCUGGGCUCAGUGACUCACCCCUGUAAUCCCAGCACUUUGGGAGGCCGAGGCGGGCAGAUCACUUGAGGUCAGGAGUUCGAGACCAGCCUGGCCAACAUGGUAAAACCUCAUCUCUACUAAAAAAUACAAAGAAAAUUAGCAAGGCGUGGUGGCGGGCAUCUGUAAUCCCAGCUACUGGGGAGGCUGAAGCAGGAGAAUCCCUUGAACCCGGGAGGUGGAGGUUGCAGUGAGCUGAGAUCAUGCCACUGCACUCCAGCCUGGGUGACAGAGUAAGACUGUCUCAAAAACAAAACCCAAAAUACUAACCAUAUUUAUAGUUAGUCACCUCACCCUUUUUUUAGUUAAAAGAAGUUUAUUUAGCCUGAUCAGUUUACCAGAUGUCUUUUUUAGUGACUUUUGUGUCUUCCAUAAAUCCAUUCUCAAAAUUUGCAACAGUUGAGCAUAUUUGACCAAAAUGUGCCACAGGUUUCUGAAGCCUGUUCAAGAAGAAGCAUGUCAACAUUAUUGGAGUAGGUCUUCGCAAUGACUACUUUUGGGAAGAUUUGAGUAAAAUUUAUGGAUACAGAAGUUUUGGAGUAUGUUAGAAUAUUACUAAGUCUUUUUAUAGUUGUAAUCCCAACACUGGGUUAUAUAUAUUUAAUACCAACCUGAGUAUAUUUCCUGAAUAAUAUCUGUUUUGGAGACUUGGACAAAGUUAACUUUUUUGCUUUUUUAAAAGUUGCUGUUUAAAUUAACUUCCUGCAUUUCUAAUGUAGAAAAAAUAUGGCACAGUGAUUUGAAUUUUGUUUAUGGUUUAUUAUCUUCCUAAAUUAUCAGCUCUUUAAAAUAUGGGUCUCUGGCCUGUAUACCAUCUGAUAAAUUAGGUUGGGUAAAUUUUUCACCUGAAAAAAUUCAUUCUUUUGACCCAGGUUGUUUGGCUUGGAAAAAAAAAAUCACAUACUCAUUGCAUGAUUAAACUUGUCCAUCAGA
rnacentral:lncRNA from 1 species